AGGACGAACGCUGGCGGCGUGCUUAACACAUGCAAGUCGAGCGGAAAGGCCCUUCGGGGUACUCGAGCGGCGAACGGGUGAGUAACACGUGAGUAAUCUGCCCCUAGCUCUGGGAUAGCUCCGGGAAACCGGGAUUAAUACCAGAUACGACCACUUUAGACAUCUGUUGUGGUGGAAAGAAUUUUGGCUAGGGAUGAGCUCGCGGCCUAUCAGCUUGUUGGUGAGGUAACGGCUCACCAAGGCGACGACGGGUAGCCGGCCUGAGAGGGCGACCGGCCACACUGGGACUGAGACACGGCCCAGACUCCUACGGGAGGCAGCAGUGGGGAAUAUUGCGCAAUGGGCGAAAGCCUGACGCAGCGACGCCGCGUGGGGGAUGAAGGCCUUCGGGUUGUAAACCCCUUUCAGCAGGGACGAAGCGAAAGUGACGGUACCUGCAGAAGAAGCGCGGCUAACUACGUGCCAGCAGCCGC
rnacentral:rRNA from 1 species